rnacentral:lncRNA from 1 species
AGCUAUGUUAAAGAGUUAUUCUUGGGUUCACCGCCUAGGGUGAACCUCUAGAUUCACCAGCCAAUAGAAUUUCAUUAUUUCAAAUUCGAUAUUUUUUAAAAAAGGAAACAAAAUAUUAUCAAGUUAUAUUAUGUUUUUAAAAUAAAAAAGUAAAAAAAAAAAUAGCAGCUACAGAAAAAAAAAUUAAAAAAAUAUUUUUAACGUCGUCAGCAAAAUAUUAAACCCUAAAUCCUAAUCCCUAAACCCUAAAUCCUAAUCCAUAAACCCUAAAUCAUAAACCCUAAACCCUUGGGUAAACCUAAACCCUUGGGUAAAUCCUAAACCCUUGGAUAAACCCUAAACCCUUGGAUAAACUCUAAACCCUUAGGUAAACCCUAAACCCUUAGGUAAACCCUAAACCCUUGGAUAAAUCUUAAACUCUAAAUAAAAACACUAAACCCUAAAACUUUAAACCCUAAAUCCUAAACUCUAAACCCUCGA